AAACCCUCAGCUACACUCUGAGAUUGACCAGACUUCACGGUGGUCUAUUUCAAUUUUUGCUCGAGGAAGAAUAAUUCUCAUUGUGGCCCCUUACUCACCGCGACACUCUGGCCUUUUUUUUUGCCCCCUGGGUGUAGUGGUCCAUAAAUCUGGCCAACAU
rnacentral:snoRNA from 1 species